rnacentral:rRNA from 1 species
UAGGGAAUAUUGGUUAAUGGGCGAAAGCCUGAACCAGCAACGCCGCGUGCACGAUGACGGCCUUCGGGUUGUAAAGUGCUUUUUGGAGGGAAGAGGAAGGACGGUACCUCCAGAAUAAGUCUCGGCUAACUACGUGCCAGCAGCCGCGGUAACACGUAGGAGACAAGCGUUAUUCGGAUUUACUGGGCGUAAAGCGCGUGCAGGCGGUCUGACAAGUUGGAUGUGAAAGCUCCUGGCUUAACUGGGAGAGGUCGUUCAAAACUAUCAGACUAGAGAGUGGUAGAGGAAGGCGGAAUUCCGGGUGUAGUGGUGAAAUGCGUAGAUAUCCGGAGGAACACCAGUGGCGAAAGCGGCCUUCUGGACCAAUUCUGACGCUCAGACGCGAAAGCUAGGGUAGCGAACGG